AACGAACGCUGGCGGCAUGCCUAACACAUGCAAGUCGAACGAGACCUUCGGGUCUAGUGGCGCACGGGUGCGUAACACGUGGGAACCUACCCUUAGGUUCGGAAUAACAGUUAGAAAUGACUGCUAAUACCGGAUAAUGUCUUCGGACCAAAGAUUUAUCGCCUUUGGAUGGGCCCGCGUAGGAUUGGCUAGUUGGUGAGGUAAAGGCUCACCAAGGCGACGAUCCUUAGCUGGUCUUAGAGGAUGAUCAGCCACACUGGGACUGAGACACGGCCCAGACUCCUACGGGAGGCAGCAGUGGGGAAUAUUGGACAAUGGGCGAAAGCCUGAUCCAGCAAUGCCGCGUGAGUGAUGAAGGCCUUAGGGUUAUAAAGCUCUUUUACUGGGGAUGAUAAUGACAGUACCCAGAGAAUAAGCCCCGGCUAACUCCGUGCCAGCCGCCGCGGUAACAC
rnacentral:rRNA from 1 species